rnacentral:lncRNA from 1 species
ACCAACAACAACAACAACAACCUCUACAAAACCCUAACUGCACAAGCUUCAUAACUCUGUCUUUCUUUUCUUUUAGUUUUUUUUUUUUAAAAAAAAAAAAAACAAAAGGAAAAGAACUUGCUUUUUUCAUUAACUUGAAAAAUUAAAUGUUUGAGCCAUGGACAUAGCCCCAACAACAACUUCCACCACCAACACCAACACCAACAUCAACACCAACACAAAUACUCCAACUACAAAAUCACCUGACCAAGAAACUGAAACUCCAACUCGGAUCCAACCACCAAAGCCUUUAUCUUUCACAAACGGUGUCCUCAAGCGGCAUCACCACCACCACCACCACCAUCACCACCUUUCGGCUCCACCUCCUGUUGUCAUAACCUACAAAGAAUGUCUCAAGAACCACGCAGCUACUUUAGGUGGUCAUGCUCUAGAUGGUUGCGGAGAGUUCAUGCCUUCGCCUACAGCUACUCACACCGACCCAACUUCUUUAAAGUGCGCUGCCUGCGGUUGUCAUAGGAAUUUUCACCGCCGGGAGCCGGAAGAUUCUCCCCCUCCUCAUCAUCCUCAUCCUCAUCAUCAUCCAGUUAAUACCACCACAACAAUUGAGUACCAGCCACACCACCGUCACCACCCUCCACCUCCACCUCCGCAAGCAGCGCAACCAUAUCGAAGCCCCAAUUCAGCUUCUCCACCACCGAUCUCGUCUUCAUAUCCAUCUGCACCCCACAUGCUGCUGGCGCUCUCAGGAGGCGUGAAUGAAAAUUCAGGUCUGCAUAUAGGUGGUGGUGGUGGUGGUUCUUCGGGGAGGAAAAGAUUCAGAACAAAGUUUAGCCAGACCCAGAAAGAAAGAAUGCAUGAGUUCGCGGAGCGAGUUGGAUGGAAGAUGCAGAAAAGGGAUGAAGAAUUGGUUCAGGAAUUUUGCAACGAAGUUGGUGUUGAC